rnacentral:lncRNA from 1 species
UAGGAUCCAUGACUCGUUGCUUUUCAGAGACUUUCUCUUCAAGCUCAAUUUUCCUCCCACUGCCUCUAUUAAGGAUAAACUGAUUUUCCAAGAAGAUGGCAUGACGGCUCACAAACACAUUGUGAUCCUCUGAGACGUAAAAAUUGUAUCCUAAUGACUCUUUAGGAUAUCCUAUAAAACGAGCACUUAUGGUCCUAGCCUCUAACUUGUCUGCCUGUAGUCGCUUGACGUGGGCCGGACAUCCCCAAAUCUUG